UACGAAGGGGCUAGCGUUGCUCGGAAUCACUGGCGUAAAGGGUGCGUAGGCGGGUUUUAAGUCAGAGGUGAAAUCCUGGAGCUCAACUCCAGAACUGCCUUUGAUACUGAGAAUCUUGAGUAUGGGAGAGGUGAGUGGAACUGCGAGUGUAGAGGUGAAAUUCGUAGAUAUUCGCAAGAACACCAGUGGCGAAGGCGGCUCACUGGCCCGAUACUGACGCUGAGGCACGAAGCGUGGGAGCAACAGGG
rnacentral:rRNA from 1 species